rnacentral:RNase_P_RNA from 1 species
CGUGCAAGUUGUUCUACCGCUGUUACGCAAGUGGCAGAGGAAAGUCCGGGCAACGCAGGGUAAUCCGCCAUCUGAAAAGGUGGGUACAAGAACUGAAAGGUUUUGUAACAGAAAGUGCCACAGAAAACCAGGUAGCCUCGCUUCGGUGCGGUGAUAGUGAAAACGUGAGGUAAGAGCUCACGAAUUAAGUCAGUGAUGAUUUAGUUGGGAAAACCUCGGAUGUUGAAAGACCAAAUAGAUUGCGGUAUUUAAGGCGACCCGUCUUAUCCUUCGGGAGCCGCAAUGGGUAGGUCGCGCAGAUAAAUGGUAGAAUAUAUUGCCAGCAAUGGCAACGAAACAGAACCCGGCUUACAGACUUGCUUUUAAA